rnacentral:rRNA from 1 species
GACGAACGCUGGCGGCGUGCUUAACACAUGCAAGUCGAACGGAAAGGCCCUGCUUUUGUGGGGUGCUCGAGUGGCGAACGGGUGAGUAACACGUGAGUAACCUGCCCUUGACUUUGGGAUAACUUCAGGAAACUGGGGCUAAUACCGGAUCGGAGCUCCUGCUGCAUGGUGGGGGUUGGAAAGUUUCGGCGGUUGGGGAUGGACUCGCGGCUUAUCAGCUUGUUGGUGGGGUAGUGGCUUACCAAGGCUUUGACGGGUAGCCGGCCUGAGAGGGUGACCGGCCACAUUGGGACUGAGAUGCGGCCCAGACUCCUACGGGAGGCAGCAGUGGGGAAUAUUGCAGAAUGGGCGGAAGCCUGAUGCAGCAACGCCGCGUGCGGGAUGACGGCCUUCGGGGUGUAAACCGCUUUCGCCUGGGACGAAGCGUGAGUGACGGUAAUGGGUAAAGAAGCACCGGCUAACUACGUG